CCUCAGGAUAAACCAAUAACUGGUUGGAUAUGGGUAUACCAUGUAGGUAUUGCUGGCUAUUGAUAUGUGUAUAAUGAUCAAAUAGAUUGAAGAAGGAGAUUUAGAUCAUUUUGGUCAUGAGAGUAAUAAUAUAUGCUGACAGGAGUCGUCCUGAUACUGUUCAUGCACUGAUGUAUGCUAUACCAUUGAAAGGAUUACGUAAAGCAAGAACAAUCAAUAUUAACAGAUCCCUGAAAGAUUUAUUAGAUGCACCUCAUUCAGUGGGUACUAAAGAUGUUCCUAAUCCUGGUUCUCAAAAUGACAUCAAGAAGCACCUUAAUGAUCUGAAACGUUUCCUUAUAACUUCAGAAGCAAAGUUUCGUGACGUAGCUAAUGGUUGUAAGGAGAAUGAAUAACCAGCCUUUAUCAAAAAAGAGUAGAACUUUUAUUGGAAAUAUUGACAUUAUUAAUUGAGAUUUAUCCCACUCAAAUUAGUAUAUUAAUUGUUAUCUAUACUAAAAGAACAGGGUCAUGUUGUUCUUUCUACAUUAUCUGAUAAGAUUGCUGCUUCAUUAGAUAGAUGAACAAGAUAAUGAUUGUCGGAGCAAUUUUUAUUAUGUACUUUAUAAUGUUAAUGUGUUUAGUAUUGUGUUUGCAUCUGAUUAAAAAAUUAAAAACCUAGCUCUGUGUUAGUCUCGCUGGCCAGCCCCGCGAGACUAGCUCUGUGUAUAUACACGACACUACUGUACAUUUUUAUGCAACAUAUAGUAGAUCUAUCUAUACACAACCAAAAGUUAUCAUGUCUGAAUCAGCAAUAUCUAAAUGAAUCAAGUCUAUGCAUGAUCAUGCCUGUUGCUUUGGCUCGCAAUUGAUUUCAUUUUUGUAUCAGUUGUGACUGAAUGCCCAAAAUGCAAAAAAUCAGUGCUGAUUUCAGGACUGAUUCAGACUAGCAUCUGUCUUGAUUCAGAUAAUCAGAUUCCAACUAUUAUUAAAGGGCCUUUGUAUAGACAUAGA